rnacentral:piRNA from 1 species
UACAAAUGUAGUAAAUGGAAGGGGUCCGU